rnacentral:rRNA from 1 species
GGCUCAGGAUGAACGCUGGCGGCGUGCUUAACACAUGCAAGUCGAACGAAGACAUCUGAGUGCUUGCACUUGGAUGGACUGAGUGGCGGACGGGUGAGUAACGCGUGGGUAACCUGCCUUAUACAGGGGGAUAACAGUUGGAAACGACUGCUAAUACCGCAUAAGCCCACGGGUCGGCAUCGACCAGAGGGAAAAGGAGCAAUCCGCUUUGAGAUGGCCUCGCGUCCGAUUAGCUAGUUGGUGAGGUAAUGGCCCACCAAGGCGACGAUCAGUAGCCGACCUGAGAGGGUGAUCGGCCACAUUGGAACUGAGACACGGUCCAAACUCCUACGGGAGGCAGCAGUGAGGAAUAUUGCACAAUGGGGGAAACCCUGAUGCAGCAACGCCGCGUGAGUGAAGAAGUAUUUCGGUAUGUAAAGCUCUAUCAGCAGGGAAGAAAAUGACGGUACCUGACUAAGAAGCCCCGGCUAACUACGUG